GGAAUAUUGCACAAUGGGCGCAAGCCUGAUGCAGCCAUGCCGCGUGUAUGAAGAAGGCCUUCGGGUUGUAAAGUACUUUCAGCGGGGAGGAAGGGGACGAGGUUAAUAACCUCGUUCAUUGACGUUACCCGCAGAAGAAGCACCGGCUAACUCCGUGCCAGCAGCCGCGGUAAUACGGAGGGUGCAAGCGUUAAUCGGAAUUACUGGGCGUAAAGCGCACGCAGGCGGUCUGUUAAGUCAGAUGUGAAAUCCCCGGGCUUAACCUGGGAACUGCAUUUGAAACUGGCAGGCUUGAGUCUUGUAGAGGGGGGUAGAAUUCCAGGUGUAGCGGUGAAAUGCGUAGAGAUCUGGAGGAAUACCGGUGGCGAAGGCGGCCCCCUGGACAAAGACUGACGCUCAGGUGCGAAAGCGUGGGGAGCAAACAGGAUUAGAUACCCGAG
rnacentral:rRNA from 1 species